UACGGAGGGGGCUAGCGUUGUUCGGAAUUACUGGGCGUAAAGCGCACGUAGGCGGACCUGCAAGUUGGGUGUGAAAUCCCGGGGCUCAACCCCGGAACUGCCUCCAAAACUGCUGGUCUGGAGGUCGAGAGAGGUGAGUGGAAUUCCAGGUGUAGCGGUGAAAUGCGUAGAUAUCUGGAGGAACACCGGUGGCGAAGGCGGCAUCCUGGACCGAUAUUGACGCUGAUGCGCGAAAGCCAGGGGAGCAAACGGG
rnacentral:rRNA from 1 species